rnacentral:rRNA from 1 species
GACGAACGCUGGCGGCGUGCCUAAUACAUGCAAGUCGAGCGGACUUGACAGAGCUUGCUCUGUUCAAGUUAGCGGCGGACGGGUGAGUAACACGUGGGCAACCUGCCCUGCAGAUUGGGAUAACUCCGGGAAACCGGGGCUAAUGCCGAAUAACAUUGAAAACCUCAUGGUUUUCUUUUAAAAGGCGGCUCCGGCUGUCACUGCAGGAUGGGCCCGCGGCGCAUUAGCUAGUUGGUGAGGUAACGGCUCACCAAGGCGACGAUGCGUAGCCGACCUGAGAGGGUGAUCGGCCACACUGGGACUGAGACACGGCCCAGACUCCUACGGGAGGCAGCAGUAGGGAAUCUUCCGCAAUGGACGAAAGUCUGACGGAGCAACGCCGCGUGAGUGAAGAAGGUUUUCGGAUCGUAAAACUCUGUUGUUUGGGAAGAACAAGUACCGGAGUAACUGCCGGUACCUUGACGGUACCUGACCAGAAAGCCACGGCUAACUACGUGCCAGCCGCCGCAGUAAGAC